UACGUAGGGUGCGAGCGUUGUCCGGAAUUAUUGGGCGUAAAGAGCUCGUAGGCGGUUUGUUGCGUCUAUCGUGAAAACCUGCAGCUUAACUGUGGGCUUGCGGUGGAUACGGGCAGACUUGAGUUCGGUAGGGGAGACUGGAAUUCCUGGUGUAGCGGUGAAAUGCGCAGAUAUCAGGAGGAACACCGGUGGCGAAGGCGGGUCUCUGGGCAACAACUGACGCUGAGGAGCGAAAGCGUGGGGAGCGAACAGG
rnacentral:rRNA from 1 species